CUAUUAUUCUUCCAGUUCACCAGCCACUUACUUGCAUAUAUUUCGGGAGAAACUGAUGAAUUCACCUGCUGUAAAUCCGACUGACAACUAUAUAUGAGCAUAUAUAUAUAAAAAAGACUUGCGGACUUGUGUUCCGUUUGCAGAUGCUAUUACUGGUAUAAAAGUAAAAAGAAAAAAUAUAUGUAAUUACUAUAUAUAAUAUUUUUUUUUAAAUGCUGUGUACAUAUUUACCGAUUAAGGUGAAUUAAAAUGCAGCUUAUUAAUGAGCAAAACGUUCGGAUGUAAACGCACUAUUUACGCGUGGCUGGGAGCAGGUGUAGAUUUCUUUUGUACCAACUAACAUUUGGAAAAUACGAACAUUUUAAUGAAUCCGAAAAUUUACGCCAGAACCUCUUUACACACGAUUUACACAAAUUCGUUCUGCUCGUGUUUCAUGAAUGAGACCCAAUGAGACUACAAUAAAUUUUAAACGUGGCUUUUACAUCCUUGUAAUAAUAAAACCUUCACAAUCAUCGGGACGAAGGAGGCGGGAACCGGCGGACAAUCAAAUGUCAUUUUAAUAAUUCCAAAAUAAACAAAACAGCGCACCAUCCCCUCACGGACGACUGAUGCGCACAAAUAAAAAGCAAAACACAAAUAAAAUCCCAGGCCUGGUCCUCUCUCGUCCUUCACGGUCGUCGCUCCAGUUUUAUAUCCUUCCAUCUCCUACGUUGGACUCGAGACCGGCGGUGGGGCGCAGGUGUCACUGAUUUCCCAAUCAUUCCGCCGGCCUCACUCCUUGUUCCCACGUCCCUCGGCCCGCCCCACUCGCCACAAUCCUAAUUAUGCUAUUAAUGAAACGGUUGACUCGAAUACAUUUAAAAAAAAAAAACAUUAUAGGUUAAAUUUUGGCGAGAGUUUAUCCUCUAAUGUGGCAUGGAUUUAAAAUGCCCUAAAGGAACCAAAGCAUCAAUCUUGAGUUCUCUCUGUAAAUCAUUCCCAGUGUGAGGGGCAUGGUAGACGAUAGUUUUUUUUUAAAUAAAUCGUUUUAUUUGCUUUUUUUAUUAUUGAGAAUAUAGUGAUCCUAGUUUUUUUUAAAUUCAAAUGUGCUGACAAAGUUUGUAACAGAACUAGUUCAACACAACCACAAACAAUUACAUAGCAACCUAAAGAUAAUUAAACAACUUCACAAAAUAACUUCAAAUGCUUUUUAGAGUGAUGCAUCACUUUUGUGAUAUAAGCAUUUAAAAUGCUAAAUGGCUUGGGACAAAUGACUUGUAGUGCAUCUGUUUACCACUAUUACCGUAUUUUACGGACUAUUAGUCACAGUUUUUUUACUUGUCUGGCUGGUCUAUUCUAUAUUGGCACUCGGGGAAACACUCAUUUUAACUAUUUGUAAAUAUCAAUGAACAUAUUUAAACAUCUAAGUUGUAAGUAGACAAGCAUAAAAUUAUAACCAUGCCUUUGGUGACCAGUAAAGUGUUUAUUUAAAGGGCCUUGAAAUAUAAGUGCGACUUAUACUCCGGUGCGACUUAUAGUCUGGAAAAUACGGUAUGUAGUUUUAUAUCACAUUGCAAGGCCUUUCACUGUCGGUCAAUCUUUUUGUCUUUUUUGCUAUUACCAGUAUUUAUCUUUACAGAAUCCACUGUGCCCUUGAGACAAAAGAAGAUUGUGUUUGACAAGAUAAUGCUGUUGUCUCGUUUAAAAGAAGAAAAGACUAUUCUCAUUAAAGAGAUGAAACAACACUGGCAGUUCCUGGCUGGUGUCUCCAAGACAUUAGGUGAUGAUAUAAAGUUGGUCAGAGGUGACUUGAAAGAAGGGAGUAAGUAUUCAUUACUGUCUCUGAGAUACUGUAUAAUUUGACAGGUUUGUGGAGUAAACACUAACAGGUCUUUCUUUUUCAUGCCAUUUGGUCUAAAAAAAAAUACAUGCAUAUACAUGCAAUAUAUGCAUAAAAUUACUUAAGAUAUAUGUAGCCAUAUUCAAUGAAUGAGCUAAUGACUGGUAUUAAUGCUGAUACAUUAACCUAGCAAAGAUCAUCAGGACAGAAAUAUGGACAUUGUAUGUGUCUGUAAAAAGCUGCAGUAGGAUACAUUUGCCCCUAACCAAUCUUAAAACGUUUUAAGUCUGUCCUACUAACAUGUCUGUGGAGGCAUACGAGGGACUGUGCUGCAUUAUGUUGGCAAGAUUGAGUGACCUACAACAUCAAAUGAGUGAGGUGAAGUCAAAAUAUAGGCAGAUUGUGGUGGAUCCAAGUGUUCUCUCAAUUGAUGAGGAAGAUGGAGAAGCAGUUUGUGAGGAAUUUCCUUACCUCCAUGAUGACAUUGAUUCAUCCGAUGAAGACUGAUGGGACCAAAUGGAAGAACAGUUGGGAGCCUUUGUCCUGCCUUUGAGAUGUUGGAGUUAGCACCAGUUUGGAGUUUGUCAUUGUAAUUUUAAUCAGUGCAAAUAAAAAAGAAUAUCAUUCA